rnacentral:rRNA from 1 species
UACGGGGGGGGCAAGCGUUGUUCGGAAUUACUGGGCGUAAAGGGCGCGUAGGCGGCCCGCUAAGUCGAACGUGAAAUCCCCAGGCUCAACCUGGGAACUGCGUCCGAUACUGGCAGGCUUGAAUCCGGGAGAGGGAUGUGGAAUUCCUGGUGUAGCGGUGAAAUGCGCAGAUAUCAGGAGGAACACCAAUGGCGAAGGCAGCUCGCUGGGACGUGACUGACGCUGGAGACGCGAAAGCGUGGGAGCGAACAGG